ACGAACGCUGGCGGCGUGCCUAAUACAUGCAAGUCGAACGCUUCUUUCCUCCCGAGUGCUUGCACUCAGUUGGAAAGAGGAGUGGCGGACGGGUGAGUAACACGUGGGUAACCUACCCAUCAGAGGGGGAUAACACUUGGAAACAGGUGCUAAUACCGCAUAACAGUUUAUGCCGCAUGGCAUAAGAGUGAAAGGCGCUUUCGGGUGUCGUUGAUGGAUGGACCCGCGGUGCAUUAGCUAGUUGGUGAGGUAACGGCUCACCAAGGCCACGAUGCAUAGCCGACCUGAGAGGGUGAUCGGCCACACUGGGACUGAGACACGGCCCAGACUCCUACGGGAGGCAGCAGUAGGGAAUCUUCGGCAAUGGACGAAAGUCUGACCGAGCAACGCCGCGUGAGUGAAGAAGGUUUUCGGAUCGUAAAACUCUGUUGUUAGAGAAGAACAAGGACGUUAGUAACUGAACGUCCCCUGACGGUAUCUAACCAGAAAGCCACGGCUAACUACGUG
rnacentral:rRNA from 1 species